CUUGAUGUUGUGGCACUCGAAGGCUAUCGCUUGUCAGCAGUAGCCUGAGCAGUCAGGAACGUUAGGGUACGACAGCAGCAGCACCAUUCCCACAAUGGUGUACUGCUGCGUUCCCUUCUGCAAGUCGAGCGAUCGGCGGUCAACUGGGAUAUCGUUUAACGAGCUUCCCGUCACCCAGAUUCGACAAGAGUGGUUGAAGAAAAUCUCUCGACAGGCUGAAGCUCCAGGAAAACAGCCAUGCGGGCCGAGCGACCGCAGCAAGGUAUGCAGCUUGCAUUUCAAGCCAGAAGAUUACAGAGAAGGCCUGAAGCUGCGCAAGUUGAAACCAGCUGCCAUACCUUCAAUAUUCCCGAGCUACGCUGGGUACAUGCCGGAAUCAUCCAGAAAAGGGCGACAGCCUGUUAAAAGGGGUGCUGUGCCAGGGCUGUCAGCAGACAAGCCUCACGCAGAAGCAAAGAAAAAUAGGCCAGAUAUCCCCUCUCCUUAUUGGUCCCCGUCUGAGAGGACUGAUGAGCAGGCAGAAAAUUGUGUGGCUGACAGCAGUACCGCAGAUAAGGAGGAUGAAAUGCUUACGGAACCCCGUAGUGAACCCUCCUCUCUGCCUUUAAUUUUACCUUCACCUGAAUCUUCUUUCUGCUUGCCUAAAACAUAUGAGACACCCGAACAUGGCCAAUCUGUCGAGUACCAGACAAGUCCAUCAAAGGCAACCAGACGACGUGGAAUGCAGACUAGGCUUUCACUGUCACGAAUGACGAAUAUCCCGAAGAAAGUACAAAACCUUACCCGGAAGUGUCAAAGGCUUUAGGAAAGGCAGCAUCGGCUACAAGAAGAGCUCUCCACUCUGAGGCAGGAGGCAAAAAAGGCAUCCUUGUUGAUGAAGAGAACAAACGUCACAAACCUCCAGCAAAAGGCGGAGGAUAACGACGAAAAAGCUCUGUUCCUUCAAGAGCAGCUUGCUUUUCUGAGCAAAAAGAAAGGGCGAUGGCGUGAGGAGACAGUGCGCAAAU
rnacentral:misc_RNA from 1 species